AGGGGUAUGGUGUCAAUGGUAGCACGCGGGUCUCCAAAACCUUUAGUGUGGGUUCGAAUCCUACUACCCCUGCCA
rnacentral:tRNA from 2 species